UAGGGAAUCUUCCACAAUGGACGCAAGUCUGAUGGAGCAACGCCGCGUGAGUGAAGAAGGUUUUCGGACCGUAAAGCUCUGUUGUUGGUGAAGAAGGAUAGAGGUAGUAACUGGCCUUUAUUUGACGGUAAUCAACCAGAAAGUCACGGCUAACUACGUGCCAGCAGCCGCGGUAAUGCGUAGGUGGCAAGCGUUGUCCGGAUUUAUUGGGCGUAAAGCGAGCGCAGGCGGAAGAAUAAGUCUGAUGUGAAAGCCCUCGGCUUAACCGAGGAAUUGCAUCGGAAACUGUUUUCUUGAGUGCAGAAGAGGAGAGUAGAACUCCAUGUGUAGCGGUGGAAUGCGUAGAUAUAUGGAAGAAUACCAGUGGCGAAGGCGGCUCUCUGGUCUGCAACUGACGCUGAGGCUCGAAAGCAUGGGUAGCGAACAGGAUUAGAUACCCUGGUAGUCCAUGCCGUAAACGAUGAGUGCUAAGUGUUGGGAGGCUUCCGCCUCUCAGUGCUGCAGCUAACGCAUUAAGCACUCCGCCUGGGGGAGUACGACCGCAAGGUUGAAAC
rnacentral:rRNA from 1 species